CUACGGGGGGCAGCAGUGGGGAAUAUUGGACAAUGGGGGCAACCCUGAUCCAGCCAUGCCGCGUGUGUGAAGAAGGCCUUUUGGUUGUAAAGCACUUUAAGCAGUGAAGAAGACCAUAUGGUUAAUACCCAUAUGCGAUGACAUUAGCUGCAGAAUAAGCACCGGCUAACUCUGUGCCAGCAGCCGCGGUAAUACAGAGGGUGCAAGCGUUAAUCGGAAUUACUGGGCGUAAAGCGAGCGUAGGUGGCUUGAUAAGUCAGAUGUGAAAUCCCCGGGCUUAACCUGGGAACUGCAUCUGAUACUGUUAAGCUAGAGUAGGGGAGAGGGAAGUAGAAUUCCAGGUGUAGCGGUGAAAUGCGUAGAGAUCUGGAGGAAUACCGAUGGCGAAGGCAGCUUCCUGGCAUCAUACUGACACUGAGGUUCGAAAGCGUGGGUAGCAAACAGGAUUAGAUACCCUCGUAGUC
rnacentral:rRNA from 1 species